GCCCCAGUGGCGCAAUCGGUUAGCGCACGGUACUUAAAAUGCCGGGGCUGUGAGUUCAAGCCUCACUUGGGGCA
rnacentral:tRNA from 1 species